rnacentral:sRNA from 1 species
AUCGAUCGCACCGCAACGUUGCCCGAGAAUAGAAAUUUUAAGCAAAGCUAGAAUCCAGCUCGAAGCCACAAGUGUCCCAAAAAUUGUAUGCCCCUUAAAAGCAGGCACCCUUAACUCUCCUCCUCCUGAACCCAAAGUAGAAAUUGACGUGGAUUUUUUUAAAUAAUAUUAUAUCUAAGUCAUAAAAUUUAUUUAUUAAUCGUCUCCGGUCAAUUUUUAAAUAUGUUUGUGCGGCCAGUCCUACCCCAGAGCAUGUCGGUCUCCGCCCCGAUCCGGCCCCAGCCCAGGCAACGGCACGAAGUCCAUGAGGAAAAAAGGUUUAUAAAUUUACUGACUUAUUGCGCUUGCAUUAGUGACUUCAAAAUCUAGGCUAAGGCUUUCAAAGAAUGUUUAUUAUUAUUAUUUUUUUUUUUUUCCUAAAUACGAUAUUCCUAACGGCGGUAAUUUAAUUUCAAAAUGGAUUGAAUCGAAUCAAAAUUGGAGUCUCGUAUCCGAUUGAUUCGUUUGAAAUGCCGGCAUACCUUGGUAAAUUGUAAAUAUAAGUGUUUUCUUGUGCGUUUCGUUUUCCGCCUCCCUGGGAACACAGGCAGGAAAACAGCAAAAGAAAAUGAAUGAACACGCACGCACCUCACAAAGAAGAGAUGAACGCGAAGAGAAGUGAAACAACAAAAGAUACAGAUAUACAUAUAUAACAUAGAUAAGCAGUGAGAGCAGCAGUGCUGGUAAGCGGCAAAAAGAGUCGCUGGUGGCACGAGAGAGAGCGAGACAGCGAUAGGUAGAGUUAGAUUCCAACUAACGGUAAACAACAACAACAGCAACAAAAAAGCACUUGCGAAAUGGAACGGGACAGAUGGAUAAGCGAAGAGCAGAGAGAAGAGGGGCAUAUAAGAUUUGUUUCAAACAAUUAUUUGUGAUUUUAAAACAUGAAAUGAUAAAAGUGUAUUCAAAGGACUAGACAACAUAAUAAUCUUAAAUUAAUAAAAACAACAAACAAACAAAAAGCAUACCAAAGCGUGCAGUGCCGUACCCGGAGUAUGAUCCGAAAGAACACACAGAAAACCAACUAACAAAAAUUGCAUCAUGACAAGGCAAUAGAAACACUAUAUAUAUAUAUAUAAAUAUAUAUAUGUAUAUCAACAAAUAUUACAUUAUUACUAUGCUAUUAUUUAUGCAAACAGAAUAAUUCAAAUUAUUUAUGUGUAAAAUAAAAAAACAAAGGAAAACCACAAAUUCAAGUCGAUUGUGCGAACAAAAUAUAUCAAUUCAAUAUUCCCAUAUGUUGAUGGUAUAGUAUAUAGUACUAUAUCUAUUUAUAUAUAUUUAUGUGUGUAUAUAAAUGAUUAAACAGCCGUUAACUCAAAUAUCCCAUAAGAAUAUCGGGACUAUCCAUGAAUCCUUUUCCAGCCAAGCCAACUCCCCACAUCUUUAAGUUUAAGGUUAUGUGGGGGCGAUCAUCGAUUAGCGAUUACCGGUCGCCACCCCAGAGCUGUAUUCCACACUAUAUCCCACUCCCCCCAGAGUUGUAUUGUAUUCCAAGCCGUGAGAAACAAGAAGUACCGUAAGGGCGGAACACGCAGCCCCCAUCCUUGCUUCUAACCGUUCGAUCGAAAACGUGGGAGCUUGAAUCUGUUUAAAAUUGAAAAUAAAUUAUAUUUGAUGUAGAAUUCA